AGCUUCUAAAAUGAAAUAAUAAUGAAUUUCAUAAAAGUAUUGAUCAAGAUAUAGAUGUCUAUACACUAUAGACUAUAGAGUAUAGACUAUAGGAGUGUAUAUAGACUCUUAUCAUAUACUGUACCUUGGUAUUAUUUAUGUACUGUGUGAAGUGUGAUAAGUGAUAGGGCAUCUCAGGGCUAAGCAACAAUUUCUACAACAAGGUAGAGAACGGUUUUACAACUUCAAAUAGCAAGCAGAAAAAAACAUCUCUGUUGUGAGUUGUGACUCUGGAAAUCUUGCUUGAAACUGUCAAGCUGACAUUUAGCCUUAAAGUUUGCAUUGUUAACACUCUUUCUUGUGAAAUUAAAACAGAAUAAGUAUCAUUAUUACCAAAAUCCAAGUGAACCUGUGUAUCCAAGGAAGAAAAUGAUUGAACUAUAAAUGCUGAAAAGGUUAAAGCUGAAGGAACAAUACUCAACUCUCUGCGCUGCCUGCCACAAAAGCAACGUAGGUAAUCGUUUCAACAACGUAUGGUUUAUCACCGCCCCCGGAAAUUCAUCGGCACCACGAUUGUUGCGCAAACCUUCUGCAAUCAAUAGAGUGGUUAAAUCUUAAAAAGGAAACAAAAGGUGGGUGAGGUGUCAGACUUGUAGAACCCAAGCGAAUGACUUCAAUUUGCAGUUACGUUUCUUGAAUGGUGACGUUUGAUUUCGAACGGUCCAAUUCGAAAUCCG